rnacentral:SRP_RNA from 1 species
CGUCGAAGCUUCGACCCGGAAGGACGACGAGGAGUUCGAAGAGGAAGUCGAGGUGGAAAGGCACAGGCGCGAAAGCAGAAUGAGCACGUCAAAGAGCAACCCCUUCACCCGGUACAUGACCGCGCCGGAG